AGUGCCCAGGAUGAGCCUUAUCCCAUUGAGAGACCUUCUCGGAUAGUCUCUUUACCUCUACAGUCUGAAGUGCCGGUCACAUCACCUGCAUUGGGACCAACUGGACCGUGUCAUAAAGACAAACAGGUGCAAUAUCUAAUGCCAAAUACAAGAAGCGUUGGUGAGUCAUCAUUUUAUAUUUCUGCCCUAGUUACUUUGGAUUUGAUAUUAUGGUUGCUUUAUCUUUUCAUAUGUCACAUUUAUACUGCUCACCUCACCUCAUGACCAGGCAGUUACAGUGAAAAAGCUGUCAAUACCAAUAAUAUAUUAUCAAAAACACUGAGCAGAUUUAAUUUGUGCACAUACUGAAAUAUGUCUAGGAUGGCAAGCGAUCAACAGUAUGGCACAGUCCCAGUUUGUACAAUGCACAUUAAUUGGAGAAGAUGAAGAGAUUAACCUGGGUUAGGAGGAGGAGAACGAGGACAUCUAUGGCGAUGGAGAGGACAUGGAGGAUGAGGACUACAUCCCAGCUGAGGAUGCAGAAGAUGACAUUGUUUGCCCUACAGCAUCUGUAAAAAUGUCUGACAUUAUAAUAAUGUCUGACAUAUAGUAGAUUUAUUCACUAUCAGCUAGCCUGAGGCUUCAGCCAGUCCGGAUGAGAAAAUACAUUUAUUGUGUUCCAGUCCCAACUAAUGAAGCUUUUCCAAGUCUGUGUUGGGUGUGGUGCGGUGAGUUCAGGGACUACGUCAGCAGCGAGAGGGACAGCGCUCUACAUCAUGCAGAUCUGUAAGUCGUGCAACCAUGUGAGAGAAUAGCCCAGCCAGCCUAUCUAGAGGGUGCCAGCAGGAAAUCUAGUCCUUUCUGCUGCCAUAUUGGUGUCAGGUUGUAUGCCGACCAAAGUCCUCCGAAUGCUCGGCAUUAUCGGAGUGGCAACUAUUCACUGCAGCACAUUCUUCCGUCACCAGCAUAACCACCUAGAGCCAGCAGUCCUCAACACAUCAAAUCAAAUCAAAUGUUAUUUGUCACAUACACAUGGUUAGUAGAUGUUAAUGCGAGUGUAGCGAACUGCUUGUGCUUCUAGUUCCGACAAUGCAGUAAUAACCAACGAGUAAUCUAACCUAACAAUUCCACAACUACUACCUUAUACACACAAGUGUAAAGGGAUAAAGAAUAUGUACAUAAAGAUAUAUGAAUGAGUGAUGGUACAGAACGGCAUAGGCAAGAUGCAGUAGAUGGUAUAGAGUCAGUAUAUGCAUAUGAGAUGAGUAAUGUAGGGUAUAUAAACAUUAUAUUAAGUGGCAUUGUUUAAAGUGGCUAGUGAUACAUGUAUUACAUAAAGAUGGCAAGAUGCAGUAGAUGAUAUAGAGUACAGUAUAUACAUAUGAGAUGAGUAAUGUAGGGUAUGUAAACAUUAUAUUAAGUGGCAUUGUUUGAAGUGGCUAGUGGUACAUUUUUACAUAUAUUUCCAUCAAUUCCCAUUAUUAAAGUGGCUGGAGUUGAGUCAGUAUGUUGGCAGCGGCCACUAAAUGUUAGUGGUGGCUGUUUAACAGUCUGAUGGCCUUGAGAUAGAAGCUGUUUUACAGUCUCUCUGUCCCUGCUUUGAUGCACCUGUAAUGACCUCGCCUUCUGGAUGAUAGCGGGGUAAACAGGCAGUGGCUCGGGUGGUUGUUGUCCUUGAUGAUCUUUAUGGCCUUCCUGAGACAUCGGGUGGUGUAGGUGUCCUGGGAUGGGACAUGGGAUGUCGAGCAGAGUGGCACCAUCAAAACCCUCAAGGAAAUGGGUGGAGAUCUGGUCUUAGCAGCAGAUGGAAGGAGUGAUGCUGCACUUCCUGCCGAAGCACACCGCCUUUCUCCUACAAGGGAAUGCAUGCAAGAUCAUACCUUGCAGCCUUGCAUUAGAAUGACAACAGUGGAUGGAUGCAGGCAGUGAGAAAAGACUAGCUGCUCAGGUACUCCCUCUCCUUCCCAAAGACCAAGAAGGGUGGAUACACAAUUUGGCCAAACCCACCUAUGGAACCUGAAUACCACCACAGUUCAACAUCCGCCUUCUAAUGUCAAGCUGCCAUCAACACACAUCCAGCCCUAAGCUGAUUCCUGUCCGUCUGCUAGGGUAGAGCAGUAACUGUCACUAGGGUUUUGUUACACAAAGUUGUUCCCUUGUAUUCUCUGCCCUUGUUUACUUCCCAUUACAGAGUUAAGAUAAUUUGAUAAGUUUAAGCAGCAGUUUGAGCCUGUAACAGCAUAACUCCACACCUAUACACCCGCCCGAGGUCUAUGUUCAUCAGACCUAGCUCCUUGACGAUCCUCACACAAAGCGUGGCACGUCUCUGCUGCUGCCGCCAAGCUUUCAGAGUGGAAUUCAAUCAUCCAUAAAUAAAUGUAUUGUAUUUCACAAUGGAAUUGUUAUUAUACAUUAACUAUCAUUAUUAUGGGGACUGUGAUCACAAAGUGAAAUGUGAAAAGUGAAAAGCACUUUUUAUAACUGUUAAUGAAAAGGUAAAAACGUGUUUGAAUUCUUUGGAUGUUAACUUGAAGACAGUGUAGUACAUGUUCUCCUCAUUUGGGAACCUAUUUCUUAUCCCAUUUACUGCACACACUGGAAUUGGCAAGUUUCCUUUGCCAUGGUAUGCUAGCUGAUAAGGCUAGUUAGCUGGCUAAAAUAGCUUUUCACAUCAGAAGUGCCUCUCUCCCUGGCUCUCGCUUUCUUUGGUAGCUAAUUCAACCUAUAGUCCGAACCAUGAUUGACCCCAUCCGUCAAUAUUUGUGUCCACUCUCUUUGCUUUUUUUUUUAUCUGCUGGCGGGUUUUGUUUUAGUUGUUCUGUGUGUUACUGCCUGUGCUCGCUGGUCUUGAUUGUUGUAGCGUUAGCUGGCUGGCUACCUAGCUGGCUACCGAGCUGGCUGAAAUAGCCAACGUUAACUGGCUGGCUAGUUUGCUGGCUAAGGUAACAUUAACUGCAUAUAACAUAGAAGCUGUUUUACAGUCUCUCUGUCCCUGCUUUGAUGCACCUGUAAUGACCUCGCCUUCUGGAUGAUAGCGGGGUAAACAGGCAGUGGCUCGGGUGGUUGUUGUCCUUGAUGAUCUUUAUGGCCUUCCUGAGACAUCGGGUGGUGUAGGUGUCCUGGGAUGGGACAUGGGAUGUCGAGCAGAGAGGCACCAUCAAAACCCUCAAGGAAAUGGGUGGAGAUCUGGUCUUAGCAGCAGAUGGAAGGAGUGAUGCUGCACUUCCUGCCGAAGCACACCGCCUUUCUCCUACAAGGGAAUGCAUGCAAGAUCAUACCUUGCAGCCUUGCAUUAGAAUGACAACAGUGGAUGGAUGCAGGCAGUGAGAAAAGACUAGCUGCUCAGGUACUCCCUCUCCUUCCCAAAGACCAAGAAGGGUGGAUACACAAUUUGGCCAAACCCACCUAUGGAACCUGAAUACCACCACAGUUCAACAUCCGCCUUCUAAUGUCAAGCUGCCAUCAACACACAUCCAGCCCUAAGCUGAUUCCUGUCCGUCUGCUAGGGUAGAGCAGUAACUGUCACUAGGGUUUUGUUACACAAAGUUGUUCCCUUGUAUUCUCUGCCCUUGUUUACUUCCCAUUACAGAGUUAAGAUAAUUUGAUAAGUUUAAGCAGCAGUUUGAGCCUGUAACAGCAUAACUCCACACCUAUACACCCGCCCGAGGUCUAUGUUCAUCAGACCUGGCUCCUUGACGAUCCUCACACAAAGCGUGGCACGUCUCUGCUGCUGCCGCCAAGCUUUCAGAGUGGAAUUCAAUCAUCCAUAAAUAAAUGUAUUGUAUUUCACAAUGGAAUUGUUAUUAUACAUUAACUAUCAUUAUUAUGGGGACUGUGAUCACAAAGUGAAAUGUGAAAAGUGAAAAGCACUUUUUAUAACUGUUAAUGAAAAGGUAAAAACGUGUUUGAAUUCUUUGGAUGUUAACUUGAAGACAGUGUAGUACAUGUUCUCCUCAUUUGGGAACCUAUUUCUUAUCCCAUUUACUGCACACACUGGAAUUGGCAAGUUUCCUUUGCCAUGGUAUGCUAGCUGAUAAGGCUAGUUAGCUGGCUAAAAUAGCUUUUCACAUCAGAAGUGCCUCUCUCCCUGGCUCUCGCUUUCUUUGGUAGCUAAUUCAACCUAUAGUCCGAACCAUGAUUGACCCCAUCCGUCAAUAUUUGUGUCCACUCUCUUUGCUUUUUUUUUUAUCUGCUGGCGGGUUUUGUUUUAGUUGUUCUGUGUGUUACUGCCUGUGCUCGCUGGUCUUGAUUGUUGUAGCGUUAGCUGGCUGGCUACCUAGCUGGCUACCGAGCUGGCUGAAAUAGCCAACGUUAACUGGCUGGCUAGUUUGCUGGCUAAGGUAACAUUAACUGCAUAUAACAUUCUUUGAUAGCUGGUUAGAUGUUGUUAUGUAUUUCAAAAAAAGUUGGUUAUAUUUAAUGUAGUUGUUGAUAGCAAUUGGCUGACUCAUGAAGUGCUCAUGUAAAGUUAGCAGGCUGGUAGGGCUAAUGUUAGCAGGCUAGUUUGCUAGCAACCUUGCAAGCUGAUUUGUAACAAUAUAUUCAUAAAGUAUUUGCUCGCAAGUUGGCUGAAAAUGUAAUUGAAACCAGUAGUAAUUGAAACCAGGGGUGAGUGCUCACCCCCCAACAACGACAAAAAAAUCUGACAUGACUUCGAUCGGUUUUAUGUAAUAACUUGAAAAAUAGAAUAGUGGUGUGUAACUUUGCAUUGGGACUUUUAACGCGUACACUAAUGCAAAUCCAUAUGUUGCAUGUGAUUCUGUUUAUACUACAUACGCUUUAAGCACUGUGAAAUACUUUAUAACAUUAUUACAAUGUAUUUUUCUAUUGCGCGACGCUGUGACAAUUUUUGUGCAACCAAAUCAUGGGCUGGUGCAACCAACUGAAAAUGUUGGGAAAAGUUCAUCUGGAGCCCACCUAUACUGUUUUUUAUAUACUGUACUGUAAAUGAGCAUAGGUUAAUGGUAGGCCAAUCACAACAUUUCAGUUCAAUAAUCCUAUGGUAAAUUAGGCCUAUGGGAGUUUUUUUAAAUGCUCUGGAGUUGAGAAUAUUGCUAUAUCCUGUCACGCCCUGACCGUAGAGAUCUUUUUAGGAUACAUUUUAUGUCUCUAUUUUGGUGUGCAUUCUAUGUUCAUUUUUUAUGUUUUGUAUUUCUUUGUGUUUGACCGGGUGUGGUUCUCAAUCAGAGUCAUCUGUCUAUCGUUGUCUCUGAUUGAGAAUCAUACUUAGGCAGCUUUUUCCCACCUGUGUUUUGUGGGUAGUUAUUUUCUGUUUUGUGUUUCUGCACCUGACAGAACUGUUCGUUGUCGUUUUGCUCUUUGUUAUUUUGUUCAAGUGUUUUUUGAGAAUAAAUCAUGAACACUUACCACGCUGCGCUUUGG